AAGGAAACUGCUACGCAUAUUGUGAAGUGUAGAAAAGAGGCCUUAUCAUAAGUUCAUAACACAAGAGAUGGAUCAGUCUUUGACAUUUAAUCUCUCAGCAUCUCAUCCUUUUCAGUAAUCGAACGAUCAUGGAUUCAACGACCAAUGAAGGAGCCUCUUCCUCUUCGUCUUCUUCUUACACCCAUUCAUGGACAUAUGAUGUCUUCCUCAGUUUUAGAGGAGAGGAUACCCGCUACAAUUUUGUAGGUCAUCUGUACAACAAUUUGGUUCAGAAGGGAUUCAAAACCUUCAUAGACGACGAGGCGCUUAAAAGAGGAGAGGAAAUAUCGUCGGCACUUCUCAAAGCAAUCGAGCAGUCGAGGAUUUCUGUUGUUGUCUUCUCCGAAAACUACGCUUCCUCACGGUGGUGCUUAGAUGAACUCGUUCACAUCUUUCACUGUAAAGAACAACUGCAGCAGAUGGUUUUUCCAGUUUUUUACAAGGUGGAUCCAUCGGAUGUGAGGAACCAAAGAAAGAGCUUCGGUAAGGCACUUGUUGACCAUGAAAGCAAACUCAAAGAUAACAUGGACAAGGUGUUGAGAUGGAGAGAAACUCUUACAAAAGCAGCAAAUUUGUCUGGCUGGUCAUUCCUGGCCGACGGGUAUUUUUCUGACCUCUAUGUACUAAUAAGCUUCAAUUCAUAAGCAUAAUAUGAAGUUUUUUAGUCAAAAUGGUUUUUCUAAGAUAGCGUAACUCUUUACUUUGUUCUUUAAAUUUUAAAAUCGAUAAAAGUAGUUCUUGAGAUUGUCCAUUGUUAAUCAUUUUAGUUAUUCCGUAAAAAAAAUCUCUCUUAAAUUGAGCGUAUUUUUGUCAAAUCAAUCACUCCACUUGAACUGAUGGUUUCUCCAGCUUAGCUGAGAUUUCUCAGGUAAUGACCAAAGUGAUUAACGGUGGACACUCUCAAGAACCACUUUUAAAAAUUUUAAAUUUCAGUGACCAAAAUAAAGAGUUAUAACAAUUUCAGCAACUAUUUUAGUUAAAAUGACUAACAUAAAUAUAUAAUAUUUGAGAAAUGCUAAGGAAACCCUUUCAAAGUGGAACUCUCUUCAUGAGCUCUCACACACCUCAUAGUUUAAUGUUAGUUCCUUUGCCAACAUUAUAAAAUAUUGUGACAAAAAAUGAGGUGGCAAAAAGUUCAUAGAAAGUAUCACUUUUGAGAAAUUAUCCUUAGCAUUUUUCAUAUUAUUUUGAUAUUAUUCCCUCACAAUAUUAUAGGAAAACUUGUUUAAGUUAUUCAUUAUUAGUAUGUGAAGCAAACACAUAUUGGAGAAUAUAAUCUCACAUCGGUCAUAUGAUAAAAUAAUAUAUAACAAAUAUAUGAGAGUUUGCACUCCUAAUAGAGAAUUUUUGUAGUAAAAUCUCAUACCGAGUAGUAGGAGAUUAAAUUGAGACACUAUUGGUAAUUUUGAUGGUAAAUCAUGUUUGGCCUAUAAAAUUUAUCAACACAUAGCUAAACGCCAUUCAUCUAUACUUAAUAUAUAAUGCCAACAACUCAUUUGGGGUCACGGACUUCACCAAAAAGAAUGAAACACAAAUGGACCCCCCCCCCCUUCUCCAAACAAAAAAGUUCAAAACCAGCCCAAACGAAUGCAUAAAAUAGUGCAGAGGCAAUUUUGUCAUAAAAAGAAUUUUUUUUAUUUUUUUUUUAUGAUUAGUAUCUUACUAUUACGUGGAAUAUCCAGGGGUUUCUUCUAGCAUAGUAUAAUAUUAUUCAUUUAGUUCAAAUAUUUGACUUUCUUUCUCUUAAGUAGAGAGUUGUCUGUCUGCAAUUGAAAUAUUACAUGGAACAUCCACGGAUUUCUUCUAGUUUAAUUAUAAUAAUGUUCCUUUUUAUGCUUUUAAACUUGUAGGCAUGAAUACAAAUUUAUUCAAAAAAUUGUUGAAGAUAUUUCGGUCCAAGUUUUAGAUAGUACCUAUUUGGAUGUGGCAAAGUAUCCAGUUGGAAUAGAUUUCGAGCAGCCGGAAACUCCGAUAAGCUGGAAGACGUGUUUGCAGAAGAUGUUUGAAAUAGUUUGCAAUUUCUUAGGCGUUUUGUAUGUCAUCAUCUUCCUACUAAUUUGGGUCAUCUUCGUAGUAUUUUGGGUCCGUGGCGCCGUACGCGAAGGUUUUUUUAGGAGUUUUUUUCAAUAAAUUAUAAGAGACUUGUCGCAUACUUAAAUUAACAUACAUUAUAUCUUUGUUUCUUAUGUUUUCAUUAUAUUCCAGCAUUCAUCAUAUAUAUAUCAUUCUAUUUUGUAGUUUAUGAUGCAAUAAUAUAUUUUAAGUAUAAGCAGACAUUUAUUUACAUGAAAUAUAAUAGAUUUAUAAGUAUAAGCAGACAAAAUAGAGACUUGUCUGCUUAGGUGUUCCCCUAGCUGCCUAGGCGCUAGGUUUUAAUCCACCGCCCGACUAGCGCCUAUCGUCUUUUAGAACCUUGGUUAUAGUAGUGGUGGGAGUUUAAUAGGCGUAUGCCUAGCCUAUG
rnacentral:lncRNA from 1 species